CUCCCUGUAGGUCCACAUACAUGCCGUAAUACCCUCCCUGUAGGUACACAUACAUGCCGUAAAACCCUCCCUGUAGGUCCACAUACAUGCCGUAAUACCCU